CUGUAAGCCUGCGAAGGUGGCCUGUGAGGGUUGCUGGAGGUAUCAGAAGUGCGAAUGCUGACAUAAGUAACGAUAAAGCGGGUGAAAAGCCCGCUCGCCGGAAGACCAAGGGUUCCUGUCCAACGUUAAUCGGGGCAGGGUGAGUCGACCCCUAAGGCGAGGCCGAAAGGCGUAGUCGAUGGGAAACGGGUUAAUAUUCCCGUACUUGGUGUUACUGCGAAGGGGGGACGGAGAAGGCUAUGUUGGCCGGGCGACGGUUGUCCCGGUUUAAGCGUGUAGGUGUGUGUUCCAGGUAAAUCCGGUUCACUUUAACACUGAGGCGUGAUGACGAGGCACUACGGUGCUGAAGCAACAAAUGCCCUGCUUCCAGGAAAAGCCUCUAAGCAUCAGGUAACAUCAAAUCGUACCCCAAACCGACACAGGUGGUCAGGUAGAGAAUACCAAGGCGCUUGAGAGAACUCGGGUGAAGGAACUAGGCAAAAUGGUGCCGUAACUUCGGGAGAAGGCACGCUGACACGUAGGUGAAGUGAUUUACUCAUGGAGCUGAAGUCAGUCGAAGAUACCAGCUGGCUGCAACUGUUUAUUAAAAACACAGCACUGUGCAAACACGAAAGUGGACGUAUACGGUGUGACGCCUGCCCGGUGCCGGAAGGUUAAUUGAUGGGGUCAGCGCAAGCGAAGCUCCUGAUCGAAGCCCCGGUAAACGGCGGCCGUAACUAUAACGGUCCUAAGGUAGCGAAAUUCCUUGUCGGGUAAGUUCCGACCUGCACGAAUGGCGUAAUGAUGGCCAGGCUGUCUCCACCCGAGACUCAGUGAAAUUGAACUCGCUGUGAAGAUGCAGUGUACCCGCGGCAAGACGGAAAGACCCCGUGAACCUUUACUAUAGCUUGACACUGAACAUUGAGCCUUGAUGUGUAGGAUAGGUGGGAGGCUUUGAAGUGUGGACGCCAGUCUGCAUGGAGCCGGCCUUGAAAUACCACCCUUUAAUGUUUGAUGUUCUAACGUGGACCCGUGAUCCGGGUUGCGGACAGUGUCUGGUGGGUAGUUUGACUGGGGCGGUCUCCUCCUAAAGAGUAACGGAGGAGCACGAAGGUUGGCUAAUCCUGGUCGGACAUCAGGAGGUUAGUGCAAUGGCAUAAGCCAGCUUGACUGCGAGCGUGACGGCGCGAGCAGGUGCGAAAGCAGGUCAUAGUGAUCCGGUGGUUCUGAAUGGAAGGGCCAUCGCUCAACGGAUAAAAGGUACUCCGGGGAUAACAGGCUGAUACCGCCCAAGAGUUCAUAUCGACGGCGGUGUUUGGCACCUCGAUGUCGGCUCAUCACAUCCUGGGGCUGAAGUAGGUCCCAAGGGUAUGGCUGUUCGCCAUUUAAAGUGGUACGCGAGCUGGGUUUAGAACGUCGUGAGACAGUUCGGUCCCUAUCUGCCGUGGGCGCUGGAGAACUGAGGGGGGCUGCUCCUAGUACGAGAGGACCGGAGUGGACGCAUCACUGGUGUUCGGGUUGUCAUGCCAAUGGCACUGCCCGGUAGCUAAAUGCGGAAGAGAUAAGUGCUGAAAGCAUCUAAGCACGAAACUUGCCCCGAGAUGAGUUCUCCCUGAGACUUAGAGUCUCCUGAAGGAACGUUGAAGACGACGACGUUGAUAGGCCGGGUGUGUAAGCGCAGCGAUGCGUUGAGCUAACCGGUACUAAUGAACCGUGAGGCUUAACCUUACAACGCCG
rnacentral:rRNA from 1 species